AAUCUAACACAAACGACACCAAGAUUAUUCUGACAGAUGGUGUCAACUUUGCGUGGGAAAAAGUACAAGGAGCAAGUAACUAUCUCGUCAGAUUACUCGAGAAUAAAUUCUUGAAGGAGAAUUCUCUUCUUGGGUGUGGUACCAUUACUUCUGUGGAGAUUCCUUACAGCAGUUUACCCUUUAAGAGUGCUACCGAAAAGAGCAAAAAGAGACAACUUGAAGUAGUUAUCGAAGUGUGGGCUUAUGGCAACGCAAAGAUUAUUGGGGAUGGAAUUCGUUACACUAAUGUGGAAAUCCGCGCAGAUGCAACAACUUCUACAGUUUCCUUGAUUAUUCUCUUGUUAUCGUUUGUGAUUUACAACCUUCAAUAGUCGGUGAGAAGGAAAGGAAUUCCUUUUUAAGAGUCACUCAAAGGUGUUGAAAAAGUUUUGUCAAACCGGACGUCUUGUGUUAUGUUAGCUUCCUUUUAGUGAAACACGACCUAAGUAAC